rnacentral:rRNA from 1 species
GUGGGGAAUAUUGGACAAUGGGCGAAAGCCUGAUCCAGCAAUGCCGCGUGAGUGAUGAAGGCCUUAGGGUUGUAAAGCUCUUUUACCCGAGAUGAUAAUGACAGUAUCGGGAGAAUAAGCUCCGGCUAACUCCGUGCCAGCAGCCGCGGUAAUACGGAGGGAGCUAGCGUUGUUCGGAAUUACUGGGCGUAAAGCGCACGUAGGCGGCUUUUUAAGUCAGAGGUGAAAUCCCGGGGCUCAACCCCGGAACUGCCUUUGAAACUGGAGAGCUAGAAUCUUGGAGAGGCGAGUGGAAUUCCGAGUGUAGAGGUGAAAUUCGUAGAUAUUCGGAAGAACACCAGUGGCGAAGGCGACUCGCUGGACAAGUAUUGACGCUGAGGUGCGAAAGCGUGGGGAGCAAACAGGAUUAGAAACCCCAGUAGUCC